rnacentral:rRNA from 1 species
AUUGAACGCUGGCGGCAUGCUUUACACAUGCAAGUCGAACGGUAACAGGGUGCUUGCACCGCUGACGAGUGGCGAACGGGUGAGUAAUGCGUCGGAACGUGCCGAGUAGUGGGGGAUAACGCAGCGAAAGUUGUGCUAAUACCGCAUACGUACUGAGGUAGAAAGUGGGGGGCCUUCGGGCCUCACGCUAUUCGAGCGGCCGACGUCUGAUUAGCUAGUAGGUGAGGUAAAGGCUCACCUAGGAGACGAUCAGUAGCGGGUCUGAGAGGAUGAUCCGCCACACUGGGACUGAGACACGGCCCAGACUCCUACGGGAGGCAGCAGUGGGGAAUUUUGGACAAUGGGCGAAAGCCUGAUCCAGCCAUGCCGCGUGUCUGAAGAAGGCCUUCGGGUUGUAAAGGACUUUUGUCAGGGAGGAAAUCCCUAGUGCUAAUAACACUGGGGGAUGACAGUACCUGAAGAAUAAGCACCGGCUAACUACGUGCCAGCCGCCGCCGUAACAC